rnacentral:sRNA from 1 species
UCGUCCAUGAUCUGCGGACAGAUGAAGUGGACGUGACAGUCGAUCCCGCCGGCCGUGACGAUUUUGCCGUUGCCGGCGACGAUCUCGGUGGACGGCCCGAUCACGAGAUCUGGGUGGACGCCGUCCAUCGUGUCCGGGUUCCCCGCCUUGCCCAGCGCGACGAUCCGGCCGUCCCGAAUCCCUAGGUCCGCCUUGAUGAUUCCCCAGUGAUCAAGGACCACCACGCCGGUGAUCACCGUGUCGGGGGCGCCGUCGGCGCGGGUCGCGCGGCUCUGCCCCAUCGA